rnacentral:rRNA from 1 species
UACGUAGGGGGCAAGCGUUGUCCGGAUUUAUUGGGCGUAAAGAGCGUGUAGGCGGCCAGACAAGUCUGCUGUGAAAACUCGAGGCUCAACCUCGAGCUGUCGGUGGAAACUGUCUGGCUAGAGUCCGGAAGAGGAGAGUGGAAUUCCUGGUGUAGCGGUGAAAUGCGUAGAUAUCUGGAGGAACACCGGUGGCGAAGGCGGCAUCCUGGACCGGUAUUGACGCUGAGGCGCGAAAGCCAGGGGAGCAAACGGG